GACGAACGCUGGCGGCGUGCCUAAUACAUGCAAGUCGAACGCAGUGGGGACGGGUGAGUAACCCGUGGGUAACCUCCCAUCAGAGGGGAUAACACUUGGAAACAGGUGCUAAACCGAUACUGAUGGAUGGACCCGCGGGGCAUUAGCUAGUUGGUGAAGUAACGGCUCACCAAGGCCACGAUGCAUAGCCGACCUGAGAGAGUGGCCGACGACACUGGGACUGAGACACGGCCCAGACUCCUACGGGAGGCAGCAGUAGGGAAUCGUCGGCAAUUGACGAAAGUCUGACCGAGCAACGCCGCGUGAGUGAAGAAUGUUUUCGGGUCGUAAAACUCUGUUGUUAGAGAAGCGGUAUCUAACCAGAAAGCCACGGCUAACUACGUGCCAGCAGCCGCGGUAAUAC
rnacentral:rRNA from 1 species